CAGUCGCCACGGUAAUACGUAGGUCCCGAGCGUUGUCCGGAUUUAUUGGGCGUAAAGCGAGCGCAGGCGGUUAGAUAAGUCUGAAGUUAAGGGCUGUGGCUUAACCAUAGUACGCUCUGGAAACUGUUUAACUUGAGUGCAAGAGGGGAGAGUGGAAUUCCAUGUGUAGCGGUGAAAUGCGUAGAUAUAUGGAGGAACACCGGUGGCGAAAGCGGCUCUCUGGCUUGUAACUGACGCUGAGGCUCGAAAGCGUGGGGAGCAAACAGGAUUAGAUACCCCAGUAGUCCCUGUCUCUUAUACA
rnacentral:rRNA from 1 species